AAUAAAGUAAGCUAAAAUUACUAAGCUAAUGGGCUCAUACCCCAAAAAUGAAAAUUUUCCUUUAUUA
rnacentral:tRNA from 2 species